UUUAUGGAACUCCAAGCCGAGAUCAGCGCCGAGCGUUUAGCCCGUUUCGUUGGCCGUACUUUAGAUAUUCUGAUUG
rnacentral:tRNA from 1 species